UGUUUGUGUGUUUUAUUAUAUUUUAAUAGUGCUAUAGAGUGUCUGAUGUAAUGUAUAUGGGGCAUUCCAUAUGAAGUGAUAUACCCAAAUUUUCAAAGUUGUACGAUUAUGCUGAAAUUUGCACAAAUUGUAGUCCUAUCACAACUAAGAUUUUUGGCCAAAUUGUUUGACUCACGACCAACGGGUUGUCUAGUAGCAGAGGUUUGAAGUUUUAGCAUUUGGGCCGUUGUGUCCAACUUCAAACGCCGGACCGAGCGCGUCACGCACGGUGCAGCUCGGCCGCUGUUGCAAGUGCCACGGAUGAUCCGAUCAGUUCUAUUGCUUGUGGCCA